AAGAUCCCUCUUCUCUGACUCCCGCUCCCGGUCUCUGUCGUGGUUGGUUACUGAAGAGCUCCGUUCGGAAUCCCCCGGCUUAGGCCACUGUGGAGGUGUCGGGAACGAAGUUGCCUUGAAACAGGAACUGCAGGAACUUUGGUGAGUGGCCUAAGAGAUGUUAGCUUCCAUGUAAAUAUAGCACUGCCCAGUGCCCACACCAUGUUCCUGAUUAACCACUGCAGCAGACUGUGAUCUUGUGCGGUUUAACCUUGAACCAAACAGUUUCUCCUGUAGGUCUCAUGGUAUUUUACAGCAAGAUGGUAUUAUACAGUUUGGUAAUGAAGAUGGAAACCAGAAGAACACACUAUCAGUGUAUCAGAGGUUGUCUCAUUACAGGCAGCCUUGUAGCAAAACCUGUACUAUCUUUUGAUGUCAGAGGUAUUCUACAACAGUGAUAGUUCCAUAGGGUUUGUGCAUCUCUUUCAGAUGAGAUGUAAAACUGAGGUCCUGACCACUUGUGGUCAUUAGCGAUCCUUUGGAGUUCUUCACAAGAAUAGGAACAUUAACCAUGGUGUUCUGGCCAAAUUCCAAGCUAGGUAAUUACAUAAUUCCUUCCUAAAUUCCACCCCCUGCCCACCCUUCUGCCUGGAUUCAACUGGAGAACUUAUUCUUCCAUUCCUGUACUUAAUUUGUGUAAUCUUUUAGUUGAGAUAGGUCAUUUGUUAUGGAUUCUACACUAUUUACAAAAAAAGGCUCACAGAGGCUUGAUAAACCACUGAAAAGUUCCUUUAGCUUCCAUUAAACUAUCUUGUGAAGUCCUUAAUCACAGUGGUAAGUAGUUAUUCACUCCCAUCGACUUCAUGCGAGUGACUCCUCAUGUGAAUAACUGCUCACCAGUGCGAGUAAAUGCACACCCUGGCCCCAAGUUUCUUGCUGGUCUGUUGCAAAACUGAUCUUCCAAAUGCAAACAGUGCAUAACUGACACAGUGCUGGUUCCUGAAGCCCUUUAAUAAACAGUGAUUCCGCAGAUCAUUUCUUAUCUCUCUGCAGAGAUGUUUAGAAAUGACAGGAGAUCUAUAAAACCACGUCACUUAGGAAGUUAUAAACACGCUUUAUCACAACAAGACCGAGUGUCACUUUUAUAAGAAUGUCAUCAAUAAUCUCUGUGUACUAUGGAUUUUUUCUGUUGGAAUGGAUGUAAACGUUUUCAGUACACUUUCUAAAUUUAAAAAAAGAAUGUUAAGUUUGAAAAAAGUAUGUGCCAUGGAGU